GUUUUUUCUGCCCUGCAAAAUGGUCCUGAUUUAUUACAUGCCCUGGCAUACAUUCCAUGCCGCCUGGGCGUGAUGGCCACACCCAACCCCUGGCCACAUGGGGUCCAAUGACUUGAUCUAAGAGUCGCCAACCUCCAAACCCUUUUAGCCAUAAAAUGCGGUAACUGUGGCACACCCCAUCCCUUCCUGCAGGGACACAGCCAAGCCAGCCCUGGGCAGUGUGGAUUGGGAAGGGAGCAGAAAUGGAGGCUCAGAGACAGUGAAUCAUUUGUACAAGGUCCUAGAGCCACACGCCCACAUCUUUCCAUGCUCCGGGCUGCCUCUCAUUCCAGGAUGAAGGGCUCGAGUCUGGGAUUUUUCCAACAUUCUAUUUUUCCCUAUCAUGAGACGAAGGAGCAAUUCCUGAGCUAAGCAAUCUGGAACCCUCGGUGGCCAUCUUCAGUGAUCCUCUAGCUAUAGUCUACUGAAUCCUGUGCUUCUGCCACCAGCAUCAGGAGCCCAGUGACGGGGAGUUUGUGGAAAGAUGAGCUUGGGGGGAGAGCUGAGUGGGGCUGUGUGGGAUGGGGAGGGCGUAACCCGGAAGCUCCACAGGUCCUGUGCUGGGGAACAUUCUCCUCAGUGGCCAUCAGAAGACAGGCUGCAGUGACCACACAGGGCACUCUGGAGGCAGAUAUAAGUGGGAGUUGUGCCGGCAGUGCCAUGGCAUGUCAAGGCAGGCCUCCGGGGCAAGAAACACCAGGUUUAUUUGGGGUACGUCGGGUUUAGUGGGGAAUCCCUCGGCCCAGCUCUCAGCGAUGGGUGGGCCAUAGUUUGAGAGCCACUGGGCCAGGCAUUCUCUGGGAGUAUUGUGGCUUUAACUUACUGUCUCCCGAGCAGGGGGUGCCGAGGAGCUGGGAGACCCAGGGGGAAGACGUCCCCACAGCAGGGGGCCCUUUGUGGAUGAGAGUGGUUUGGCAACUUCCACAGCUUCCAGUCACUCUGAAGUCAGAGGCUCGGGGAUUCUUUAACUGCUGUACAUCCGGGAAACGGGAACAGCCAAGGCCGAGCUCAGCGUUGGCCCCGAGAGGAGUGAGGGCGUGCUUGAUGUGUCUCCAGUCUUCCUUUCUUCUUCCUGCCUGAAAGGACGGAGGCAUGUGAGUUCUGGGCAAAGCCGUGGUUUUGAGUCAGAAAGAACUGAGAUUUAAUCACUGUUCCCCACUGACCAACACUGGGACAUGAGGGAAGCCAGCAGCCAGCAUGCAGCAGACACUUAGUAAAUACUGGCUGAAUAAUAACACAUGUCAGGCCCUGUGCAGAGCUCUUUGUAUGUAUUAACUCAUCGAAUCCUCAUAAUUUAUGCCAUAUUAGGUGCUAAUAGCAGCCACAAUUUACAGACAAGGAAACUGAAGCACAGAGAAGUUAACUAACGCAUCCCGGGGGUGUGGAUGGUAAAUAACAGGGAGUCUGCCUCCAGCACGCAGGCUUUGAACCCCUCUGAUAUGAAAGGCUGAAUACGUGCAGUCUCUGGGAGUCUCAGUUUCCUGGUCUGUGGGUGGUCAGUGCGGAUGGGGGCAGCUUGAGGUUAAGUCAUUUGCAACGCUGGACAAAUUGCACGUGCAGGCAUGGCUGAUGAAGUGGUGGGCACGUCCCUGGAAGGCCAUGGCUGGAGGGUCCAGAGGCCCCCUGGAGAGAACUCAGCCUGGGAGCAGAGAGUGAUGGCAGACAAGCUGGGCAGAGCAGCAAAACAACAGACAUGGGUGGGAGUGGCGGUUCUGUGAUCAGUGUGGUGUGAUCACUGAGUCAUUUUGUCCUGCCUAGUUCCCUGCGACCUUGCACCUGUAUUCUCCAGAGAGGCGCAGUGGUGGGUAAAAACAAAAUGAGCAUUUGACCAAAGUGCCCUCAGGAGAAGGCUGGCCGGUACUAGUAUGGCGUCCCUUUAACAGAGGGUGACAUCAAGGAGAGAGGUGUUCUCUACGUCUCCAAAUACCUUACAGAGUAUAGAAAAUCAUCAUCCGACCCAGGAAAUCACAGUGAUAGAGGUGAGGAGGGAGCUCCCAGCAGCUCAGCCUCGCUGAGAGCAGAAGGGGAGGAAAUGGCCAAUUCGCCAGCUGCUGACCAGACUCCUGCUCACAGGGGUGUCCCCAGACUGGUGGGGGAGGGGAGGAAAGAGCAUACAGGGCGAGCCAAGGAGACACAGCCAGGAUGCCAAGAGAGUUGUGAAAUCUGUGCCAGUGAAUUUUGAGAAAAUUAACCCGUGUUAGUGCUUAUAUCCCUUUAGUAGAGAGAAUCACUAGGAAGAAAGAGGUGCUCCCCAAGACUCUGAAGACCUCAAGGGCUGGCCCAUGCUGGACAGAAGCGGAGUGAGAAGGAGGCAGAGAGUGCAAACCUGGGGUGAGUGGAGAAAGCAGCUGGGGGGCAGAACCCAGAGAAAAACAACGCUGAGGCGCGGCCCCUAAGAGGGGGCGCCAGCAGGAAAUAUUCAUGAGCACCAACUGUGCCCUUUCGUAAAGCCCUCAUAAUACCUCGGUAAAACAAGCGUUGUUAUUCCCACUUUGCUGAUGGUAAAGCUGAGAUUCUGAGAGGUCAGACAACCUGCCUGCUCACACAAUACGCCACAGAAGCAGGCUUUGAACCUAAGACUGUUUGGCUCCAAAGCGCUUGUCCUGCCUCCUACACCAACUUCCCAUUUUCCCCUGGAACUGACCCUGCAGAGAACAUACUUCUCAUACCACAAAGGGCUUCUAGAACCUGCUGCUGCAGGACGGUGCCUCCGAGAGUCACCAUUGCUCACGAUGUCUUUGAAGCCCACAGAUAUUUGAUAAAUAUCUGUAGAAGAAGAGUGGGAGGAAGAAAGAGAGAAAAAAGAAGGAAAAGAAAUUGGCACCUACUCUGUGCCAAGGCCUCUAUAUACGGUCACAUUUCAUUUUCUUUGUGGAUUAAUUUAUACCUCCCUUUAUUUCUGAAGCUCCUGGAGGCAGCCGUAAGCACUGUCAGGUCCAUUUCCAGUGAGGAAACGUAGGUGCAGAGAGGUAAAGCGAUGAGUCUAAAGGGGCUCAAGCACCCAGGGGAGGGUGCUUAUAACUGGGUUCGACCAUUCAAUGCGUAUUUAUUGAGCUCCUACUCCGAGCCAGGCACAGUUCUAGGCUUGUGGGAUAUUUCAGUGCACAAAGCGGAUAAUGACCCCUGCCCUCGCAGAACUUACGGUUUGUGGGAAUCUAAAAUUCCAGUGAUGUGUAACAGAGGAAAGGGCGGCAGGCCCUGACGCAGAAUACGCAGGAAGUAGACCUCCCGAGGCUGCCAUCUUGGGCUGAGCUCCAUGUCAUCCCCGUCUCCCGCUUCACUAUCUGAAGCCGGAAGCAGGUGGCCUGCAGGACAGUGGAGGAGGUGGCACGGAGUCUCUUCCCUGGCUGCCUCCAUAGGAGGUUUGGGGGUUUGAGCCCUUCUGAUUAGAAGGGUAAGAUCCGGAUGCUGAUGGAACAGUUCACAAGAGUUAUGAAUCUCUAGGAACAUUCCUAGCUGUUUUGAGUUCCAAAUUCUGGCCCAGGUUUGGGGAGGAGGCCAUACUCCCCAGAUCUAUGCAGUCCCCCUGGAGCUCCAUGUUUUGAGGGCUCUGGAAGAAUCUGAAGAUGGUGGUGGCGAGGAUGUUGGUGUCUCAUGUUGGGUUCUGUCAGCCCGGGCAGCCGAAGGGCUCCCUCAGGUGGUUUUUUGGGCUGUGGGUGUCAGAGCAGGAACGGAUCAUGUUGGGCUCUUAGUGGUGGGUGAUGGCAGGUGACAGACUGGGUAUGAAGCACAUCUUUGGGAACUCACAGAAACACCUCAUAGGUACUUAAAGAGGCAUCCAAUUUCCUACUUAGAUAGGUGGAUGUGGGGUGGGGCAUGGAGUCAUUUUAAUUGGGCCAUAAGUGUAAAUUAGACCUUAUUUUGUAGACCCAGGAUGCUGAGGACAGCAGACAUUUGUCACAUAUAAUAACUGUACUUUCCUUGCCAGCAAUUGAGAGGAGAGAGACAACGAGGAGAAGUUGAAUCUAAUGGAUUAUUCCAAAGGCCAGAGCCCUUCAAAAGAAAAAGGCUGGAGUCCUUAAUAGGACGCCAAGGCCCUCAUGAACGAGCCCCUGAGCACCCACCCUGUGUAGCCUCCUGGCAGGCUCC
ensembl:lncRNA